ACGGGUGAGUAACACGUGAGCAACCUGCCCCUGACUCUGGGAUAAGCGCUGGAAACGGCGUCUAAUACUGGAUAUGUGACGUGGCCGCAUGGUCUGCGUCUGGAAAGAAUUUCGGUUGGGGAUGGGCUCGCGGCCUAUCAGCUUGUUGGUGAGGUAAUGGCUCACCAAGGCGUCGACGGGUAGCCGGCCUGAGAGGGUGACCGGCCACACUGGGACUGAGACACGGCCCAGACUCCUACGGGAGGCAGCAGUGGGGAAUAUUGCACAAUGGGCGCAAGCCUGAUGCAGCAACGCCGCGUGAGGGAUGACGGCCUUCGGGUUGUAAACCUCUUUUAGUAGGGAAGA
rnacentral:rRNA from 1 species